rnacentral:rRNA from 1 species
AUUGAACGCUGGCGGCAUGCCUUACACAUGCAAGUCGAACGGUAACAGGUCUUCGGAUGCUGGCGAGUGGCGAACGGGUGAGUAAUACAUCGGAACGUGCCCAGACGUGGGGGAUAACGAGGCGAAAGCUUUGCUAAUACCGCAUACGAUCUAAGGAUGAAAGCAGGGGACCGCAAGGCCCUGCGCGUUUGGAGCGGCCGAUGGCAGAUUAGGUAGUUGGUGGGAUAAAAGCUUACCAAGCCGACGAUCUGUAGCUGGUCUGAGAGGACGACCAGCCACACUGGGACUGAGACACGGCCCAGACUCCUACGGGAGGCAGCAGUGGGGAAUUUUGGACAAUGGGCGAAAGCCUGAUCCAGCAAUGCCGCGUGCAGGAUGAAGGCCUUCGGGUUGUAAACUGCUUUUGUACGGAACGAAAAGGCUCUGGCUAAUACCUGGGGCACAUGACGGUACCGUAAGAAUAAGCACCGGCUAACUACGUG